UGCAGNUNUAGAGUCGUAGAGAGGAAGNNGGAAUGCUNUGGUAGCGGUGAAAUUNGUAGAUAUCAACAGGANCUCCGAUGGCGAAGGCGGCCUUCUGGUCAGUGACUGAGNGUGAGAUGCGAAACAGUGGGGAGCAAUCAGGAUUAGAUAUCUUGGUAGNUCACGCNGUAAUACGAUGAGUGCUAGGUGUCUCGGGCUGUGACCCUCGUGGUGCUNGAAGGGCACGCGCUAAGACACUCUCCGUGGGGAGUNCGGUCGCAAGCAUAAAACUCAAAGGAAUUGACGGGGGGCCGCACAAGCGGUCGAGCAUUUUGUUUAAUUCGACGCAACUCGAUGAUCCUUACCUGGGCUAGAAAGUACAGGAAGUCGGUUGAAAGGUGGAUGUGCUCAUCCAAGAACCCGUGUUUAGGUGCUGCAUGUCUUUCGUCAGGUCAUCUCGUGAGAUGUUGGAGUAAGUCCUGCAACGAGCGCAACCCCUGUUCUAGUUGCCAGCCNUAAGCAAGCACUNUAACAAGACUGCCGACCUUUAAGUCGGAGGAAGGUGGGGAUGCAAUCAAGUCAUCAUGGUCUCUAUGUCCAGGGCUACAAUCGCCUUGCAAUGGUCGUUACAAAGGGUAGAGAACUUAGGAGAGGGAGCCAAUCUCAAAAAGCCGCCCUCCAUACAGAUAGGAGUUUGCACCUGGACCCCUCGAAGUCCGAAUCCAUAGUAAUCUAUGAUCAGCAUGGCAGCGGUGUAUACGUUCCCGGGCCUGGUACACCACGCCCUUCUCACCAGGGGAGUGGUUGGCUCCAGAAGGACGUGAGCCAAUCGCAAGGAGGCAGGGCCCCAAGGAGUGAUCGGUAAUUGGGGCGAAGUCCUAACACGGUAUCC
rnacentral:rRNA from 1 species